UACGGGGGGGGCAAGCGUUGUUCGGAAUUACUGGGCGUAAAGGGCUCGUAGGCGGCCAACUAAGUCCGACGUGAAAUCCCCAGGCUUAACCUGGGAACUGCGUCGGAUACUGGAUGGCUUGAAUUCGGGAGAGGGAUGCAGAAUUCCAGGUGUAGCGGUGAAAUGCGUAGAUAUUCGGAAGAACACCAGUGGCGAAGGCGGCUCACUGGCCCGGUACUGACGCUGAGGUGCGAAAGCGUGGGGAGCAAACAGG
rnacentral:rRNA from 1 species